AUUGAACGCUGGCGGCAGGCCUAACACAUGCAAGUCGAGCGGAGCGGCGGACGGGUGAGUAAUGCUUAGGAAUCUGCCUGGUAGUGGGGGAUAACGUUCGGUAACGGGCGCUAUCACUGCACCCUAUUAGACGAGCCUAGGUCGGAUUAGGUAGUUGGUGGGGUAAAGGCCUACCAAGGCCACGAUCCGUAACUGGUCUGAGAGGAUGAUCAGUCACACUGGAACGGAGACACGGUCCAGACUCCUACGGGAGGCAGCAGUGGGGAAUAUUGGACAAUGGGCGAAAGCCUGAUCCAGCCAUGCCGCGUGUAGGAAGAAGGUCGUCGGGUUGUAAAGCACUUUAAGUUGGGAGGCGUUACCAACAGAAUAAGCACCGGCUAACUUCGUGCCAGCAGCCGCGGUAAUAC
rnacentral:rRNA from 1 species